rnacentral:rRNA from 1 species
AGCCAUGGGCAGGUUGAAGGUUGGGUAACACUAACUGGAGGACCGAACCGACUAAUGUUGAAAAAUUAGCGGAUGACCUGUGGCUGGGGGUGAAAGGCCAAUCAAACCGGGAGAUAGCUGGUUCUCCCCGAAAGCUAUUUAGGUAGCGCCUCGUGAACUCAUCUUCGGGGGUAGAGCACUGUUUCGGCUAGGGGGCCAUCCCGGCUUACCAACCCGAUGCAAACUACGAAUACCGAAGAAUGUUAUCACGGGAGACACACGGCGGGUGCUAACGUCCGUCGUGAAGAGGGAAACAACCCAGACCGCCAGCUAAGGUCCCAAAGUCAUGGUUAAGUGGGAAACGAUGUGGGAAGGCACAGACAGCCAGGAUGUUGGCUUAGAAGCAGCCAUCAUUUAAAGAAAGCGUAAUAGCUCACUGGUCGAGUCGGCCUGCGCGGAAGAUGUAACGGGGCUAAACCAUGCACCGAAGCUGCGGCAGCGACACUAUGUGUUGUUGGGUAGGGGAGCGUUCUGUAAGCCGUUGAAGGUGUGCUGUGAGGCAUGCUGGAGGUAUCAGAAGUGCGAAUGCUGACAUAAGUAACGAUAAAGCGGGUGAAAAGCCCGCUCGCCGGAAGACCAAGGGUUCCUGUCCAACGUUAAUCGGGGCAGGGUGAGUCGACCCCUAAGGCGAGGCCGAAAGGCGUAGUCGAUGGGAAACAGGUUAAUAUUCCUGUACUUGGUGUUACUGCGAAGGGGGGACGGAGAAGGCUAUGUCAGCCGGGCGACGGUUGUCCCGGUUUAAGCAUGUAGGCGGAGGUUCCAGGUAAAUCCGGUACCUUAUUAACGCUGAGGUGUGAUGACGAGGCACUACGGUGCUGAAGUGAUAAAUGCCCUGCUUCCAGGAAAAGCCUCUAAGCAUCAGGUAACACGAAAUCGUACCCCAAACCGACACAGGUGGUCAGGUAGAGAAUACCAAGGCGCUUGAGAGAACUCGGGUGAAGGAACUAGGCAAAAUGGUGCCGUAACUUCGGGAGAAGGCACGCUGAUAUGUAGGUGAAGCCCCUGCGGGCGGAGCUGAAAUCAGUCGAAGAUACCAGCUGGCUGCAACUGUUUAUUAAAAACACAGCACUGUGCAAACACGAAAGUGGACGUAUACGGUGUGACGCCUGCCCGGUGCCGGAAGGUUAAUUGAUGGGGUUAGCGGCAACGCGAAGCUCUUGAUCGAAGCCCCGGUAAACGGCGGCCGUAACUAUAACGGUCCUAAGGUAGCGAAAUUCCUUGUCGGGUAAGUUCCGACCUGCACGAAUGG